CCUACGGGGGGCAGCAGUGAGGAAUAUUGGUCAAUGGACGAGAGUCUGAACCAGCAAAGUAGCGUGAAGGAUGACUGCCCUAUGGGUUGUAAACUUCUUUUAUAUGGGAAUAAAACGUUCCACGUGUGGGAUUUUGUAUGUACCAUCUGAAUAAGGAUCGGCUAACUCCGUGCCAGCAGCCGCGGUAAUACGGAGGAUCCGAGCGUUAUCCGGAUUUAUUGGGUUUAAAGGGAGCGUAGGUGGAUUGUUAAGUCAGUUGUGAAAGUUUGCGGCUCAACCGUAAAAUUGCAGUUGAAACUGGCAGUCUUGAGUACAGUAGAGGUGGGCGGAAUUCGUGGUGUAGCGGUGAAAUGCUUAGAUAUCACGAAGAACUCCGAUUGCGAAGGCAGUUCACUGGACUGCAACUGACACUGAGGCUCGAAAGUGUGGGUAUCAAACAGGAUUAGAUACCCGAGUAGUC
rnacentral:rRNA from 1 species